GCCCUGUGAUUAUUUGCCUGCUGGGAUCCAGCCUCACCUGGGAGGCCACACCAUCAUCACCCUGUCUAACACCUCUCUGGACACUCUGCACAUCCUCAGCUGGCCAAACCACCCCUUGGUGCUGUCUCACAUGGGCUGACAUGAGGCACUCUCAGAAUGGCCACAGCAGACAGUGUUGGCAAACCCAGCUCUCAAGGAGAAAGGCAGAUGAAGGGGUCUGCAGCCCCACACCAUCCCUUCCUGCCAUAUCUGACACCUUGGAGAUUGUGAUGAGUCUGCUGUGGAAAAAGUCAGGUGGACAGAGAACACCUUCCAGUGACUGAGAGAUGAAGCUUUGGAACACCAGGCAACCAGCUCAGCCUGGGUCAGCAAAUGGAGUGUGGAGAUGAGCUGUAAGUAA